rnacentral:rRNA from 1 species
AACGAACGCUGGCGGCAUGCCUAACACAUGCAAGUCGAACGAGACCUCCGGGUCUAGUGGCGCACGGGUGCGUAACGGGGGGGAACCUGCCCUUAGGUUCGGAAUAACUCCCCGAAAGGGGUGCUAAUACCGGAUCAUAUCUUCGAACCAAAGAUUUAUUGACGUAGGAGGGGCGCGCGUUGGAUUAGCUGGUUGGUAGGGUAAACGCGUAUCAGGGGGACGAUACAUAGCUGGGUAGAGAGAAUGGUCAGCCACACUGGGACGGAGACACGGCCCAGACUCUUGCGGGAGGCAGGAGUGGGGAAUAUUGCACAACGGGGUGAAGGAUGAUCGAGCUCUGCCGGGAGAGUGAUGAUGUACGGAGGGUUGUAAAGCUCGUUUACCCGGGAGGAUAAUGACAGUACCGGGAGAAUAAGCGCCGGCUAACUACGUG